GAAAUGCGAUAAGUAGUGUGAAUUGUAGAAUUCAGUGAAUCAUCGAAUCUUUGAACGCACAUUGCGCCCGCCAGUAUUCUGGCGGGCAUGCCUGUUCGAGCGUCAUUUCAACCAUCAAGCCCCGGGCUUGUGUUGGGGACCUGCGGCUGCCGCAGGCCCUGAAAAGCAGUGGCGGGCUCGCUGUCACACCGAGCGUAGUAGCAAUCACCUCGCUCAGGGCGUGCUGCGGGUUCCGGCCGUUAAACAGCCUUACAAAACCCAAGGUUGACCUCGGAUCAGGUAGGAAGACCCGCUGAACUUAAGC
rnacentral:misc_RNA from 1 species